rnacentral:rRNA from 1 species
AGGAAUAUUGCGCAAUGGCCGAAAGGCUGACGCAGCGACGCCGCGUGGGGGAUGACGGCCUUCGGGUUGUAAACCCUUGUCAGUGGGGAAGAAAAAAAUGACUGUACCCACAGAGGAAGCCCCGGCUAACUACGUGCCAGCAGCCGCGGUAAGACGUAGGGGGCGAGCGUUGUUCGGAAUUACUGGGCGUAAAGAGCUCGUAGGCUGGAAAUUAAGUCUUUGAACAAAUCUCCCGGCUCAACCGGGAACCGUUUAGGGAUACUGAUGUUCUUGAGAACAGGAGAGGGGAAUGGAAUUCCUAGUGUAGCGGUGAAAUGCGUAGAUAUUAGGAGGAACACCAGUGGCGAAGGCGGUUCUCUGGCCUGUUUCUGACGCUGAGGAGCGAAAGCUGGGGGAGCGAACGG